GGCUGAUUAAUCAGAGAUCAGACGCAAUAUGAAUGUAGAAUCAUUCUGAAUCAUUAAAUAAAUAAAUCUAACCUUGCUUUUGGAGUGGGUUGUGUUGUGGGUUUGGGUUCUGGUGCUGGUGCUGGUGCUGGUGCUGGGGUUUUCUGUGCUACUGGAGCAGCUGGAACAACUGGAACCGGCUCAACCACACUGUAGAUACAAACACGAGCACAGAAAAUUAUUAUUACUGUACUUUAUUUUAAAGAACACAAAUUAGGCGCUUAUUAAUGUCUUAUUAUUUGCUUAAUAAAGCCUUAAUUUGGUAAAUCAAUAUACAGACAAAAAUUGUGAUGUAUCUAUAUAAAUGUUACUAUAACUGCUACUACUGAAAUUACUAAUAACAAUAACAGUAAUGACAUACAUAUGUUAAAACAAGGUAAUGAAUAAACCUGGGUUUAGGAGUGGGUUUAGGAGUGGGAGUGGGCUCGGUUUUGGGUUUGGGUUCUGGUGCUGUGGACGGAGCUUUGGGUGCAGCAGGAGCGGCUGGAGCUGCUUCAGUGACGCUGAAGAAAAAAGAAAGAACAGAUGAAAAGAAAAUCAGAAAAGAGCAAAUAUUAUAUAUAGUAUCAC
rnacentral:lncRNA from 1 species